CCUACGGGGGGCAGCAGUCGAGAAUUAUUCACAAUGGGGGAAACCCUGAUGGUGCGACGCCGCGUGGGGGAAUGAAGGUCUUCGGAUUGUAAACCCCUGUCAUGUGGGAGCAAAUUAAAAAGAUAGUACCACAAGAGGAAGAGACGGCUAACUCUGUGCCAGCAGCCGCGGUAAUACAGAGGUCUCAAGCGUUGUUCGGAAUCACUGGGCGUAAAGCGUGCGUAGGCUGUUUCGUAAGUCGUGUGUGAAAGGCGCGGACUCAACCCGCGGACGGCACAUGAUACUGCGAGACUAGAGUAAUGGAGGGGGAACCGGAAUUCUCGGUGUAGCAGUGAAAUGCGUAGAUAUCGAGAGGAACACUCGUGGCGAAGGCGGGUUCCUGGACAUUAACUGACGCUGAGGCACGAAGGCCAGGGGAGCGAAAGGGAUUAGAUACCCCAGUAGUC
rnacentral:rRNA from 1 species